rfam:Trametes versicolor FP-101664 SS1 unplaced genomic scaffold TRAVEscaffold_12, whole genome shotgun sequence.
GCCCGCUUAGCUCAGUGGUAGAGCGCGCCACUUGUAUGGUUCAGAUUCGUAAGGACUUGGACUCAGCAAUGGUGAGGUCAGUCGUUCAAACCGGCUAGUGGGCA